rnacentral:rRNA from 1 species
UGGGGAAUCUUCCGCAAUGGACGAAAGUCUGACGGAGCAACGCCGCGUGUAUGAUGAAGGUCUUCGGAUUGUAAAGUACUGUCAUUGGGGAAGAACGGUUUUCUUGAAAAGAUUGAGAAGACAUGACGGUACCCAAGGAGGAAGCCCCGGCUAACUACGUGCCAGCAGCCGCGGUAAUACGUAGGGGGCAAGCGUUGUCCGGAAUUAUUGGGCGUAAAGGGCGCGUAGGCGGGCUUUUAAGUCCGGUGUGAAAGAUCAGGGCUCAACCCUGAGAGUGCAUCGGAAACUGGAGGCCUUGAGGACAGGAGAGGAAAGUGGAAUUCCACGUGUAGCGGUGAAAUGCGUAGAUAUGUGGAGGAACACCAGUGGCGAAGGCGACUUUCUGGACUGUAACUGACGCUGAGGCGCGAAAGCGUGGGGAGCAAACAGGAUUAGAUACCCUGGUAGUCCACGCCGUAAACGAUGAGUGCUAGGUGUAGAGGGUAUCGACCCCUUCUGUGCCGCAGUUAACACAAUAAGCACUCCGCCUGGGGAGUACGGCCGCAAGGUUGAAACUCAAAUGAAUUGACGGGG